rnacentral:rRNA from 1 species
AAACUUUCAACAACGGAUCUCUUGGCUCUCGCACCGAUGAAGAGCGCAGCGAAAUGCGAUAACUAAUGUGAAUUGCAGGCAUCGUGAAUCAUCGAGUUCUUGAACGCACAUUGCGCCCUGUGGUAUUCCGCAGGGCAUGCCUGUUUGAGCGUCAGUU